GACGAACGCUGGCGGCGUGCUUAACACAUGCAAGUCGAACGGAAAGGCCCUGCUUUUGUGGGGUGCUCGAGUGGCGAACGGGUGAGUAACACGUGAGUAACCUGCCCUUGACUUUGGGAUAACUUCAGGAAACUGGGGCUAAUACCGGAUAGGAGCUCCUGCUGCAUGGUGGGGGUUGGAAAGUUUCGGCGGUUGGGGAUGGACUCGCGGCUUAUCAGCUUGUUGGUGGGGUAGUGGCUUACCAAGGCUUUGACGGGUAGCCGGCCUGAGAGGGUGACCGGCCACAUGGGGACUGAGAUACGGCCCAGACUCCUACGGGAGGCAGCAGUGGGGAAUAUUGCACAAUGGGGGGAAGCCUGAUGCAGCAACGCCGGGUGCGGGAUGACGGCCUUCGGGUUGUAAACCGCUUUCGCCUGUGACGAAGCGUGAGUGACGGUAAUGGGUAAAGAAGCACCGGCUAACUACGUG
rnacentral:rRNA from 1 species